rnacentral:rRNA from 1 species
ACCCGCUGAACUUAAGCAUAUCAAUAAGCGGAGGAAAAGAAACCAACAGGGAUUGCCCUAGUAACGGCGAGUGAAGCGGCAACAGCUCAAAUUUGAAAUCUGGCUCUUUUAGAGUCCGAGUUGUAAUUUGCAGAGGGCGCUUUGGCUUUGGCAGCGGUCCAAGUUCCUUGGAACAGGACGUCACAGAGGGUGAGAAUCCCGUACGUGGUCGCUGGCUAUUGCCGUGUAAAGCCCCUUCGACGAGUCGAGUUGUUUGGGAAUGCAGCUCUAAAUGGGAGGUACAUUUCUUCUAAAGCUAAAUAUUGGCCAGAGACCGAUAGCGCACAAGUAGAGUGAUCGAAAGAUGAAAGGCACUUUGGAAAGAGAGUCAAACAGCACGUGAAAUUGUUGAAAGGGAAGCGCUUGCAGCCAGACUUGCUUACAGUUGCUCAUCCGGGCUUUUGCCCGGUGCACUCUUCUGUAGGCAGGCCAGCAUCAGUUUGGGCGGUAGGAUAAAGGUCUCUGUCACGUACCUCUCUUCGGGGAGGCCUUAUAGGGGAGACGACAUACUACCAGCCUGGACUGAGGUCCGCGCAUCUGCUAGGAUGCUGGCGUAAUGGCUGU